CUCGCUGUGAAGAUGCAGUGUACCCGCGGCAAGACGGAAAGACCCCGUGAACCUUUACUAUAGCUUGACACUGAACAUUGAGCCUUGAUGUGUAGGAUAGGUGGGAGGCUUUGAAGUGUGGACGCCAGUCUGCAUGGAGCCGACCUUGAAAUACCACCCUUUAAUGUUUGAUGUUCUAACGUGGACCCGUAAUCCGGGUUGCGGACAGUGUCUGGUGGGUAGUUUGACUGGGGCGGUCUCCUCCUAAAGAGUAACGGAGGAGCACGAAGGUUGGCUAAUCCUGGUCGGACAUCAGGAGGUUAGUGCAAUGGCAUAAGCCAGCUUGACUGCGAGCGUGACGGCGCGAGCAGGUGCGAAAGCAGGUCAUAGUGAUCCGGUGGUUCUGAAUGGAAGGGCCAUCGCUCAACGGAUAAAAGGUACUCCGGGGAUAACAGGCUGAUACCGCCCAAGAGUUCAUAUCGACGGCGGUGUUUGGCACCUCGAUGUCGGCUCAUCACAUCCUGGGGCUGAAGUAGGUCCCAAGGGUAUGGCUGUUCGCCAUUUAAAGUGGUACGCGAGCUGGGUUUAGAACGUCGUGAGACAGUUCGGUCCCUAUCUGCCGUGGGCGCUGGAGAACUGAGGGGGGCUGCUCCUAGUACGAGAGGACCGGAGUGGACGCAUCACUGGUGUUCGGGUUGUCAUGCCAAUGGCACUGCCCGGUAGCUAAAUGCGGAAGAGAUAAGUGCUGAAAGCAUCUAAGCACGAAACUUGCCCCGAGAUGAGUUCUCCCUGAGACUUAGAGUCUCCUGAAGGAACGUUGAAGACGACGACGUUGAUAGGCCGGGUGUGUAAGCGCAGCGAUGCGUUGAGCUAACCGGUACUAAUGAACCGUGAGGCUUAACCUUACAACGCCGAAG
rnacentral:rRNA from 1 species